CCCACCUGCCGUUCAAACCAGAUAAUCCACCCGAAGCUAAGCAGGUUUGGGCCUGGCUAGUACUUGGAUGGGAAACCAACUAGGAAAUUGGGUUGCUGCUGGAA
rnacentral:rRNA from 1 species